rnacentral:rRNA from 1 species
AUCCCUAGCUGGUCUGAGAGGAUGACCAGCCACACUGGAACUGAGACACGGUCCAGACUCCUACGGGAGGCAGCAGUGGGGAAUAUUGCACAAUGGGCGCAAGCCUGAUGCAGCCAUGCCGCGUGUAUGAAGAAGGCCUUCGGGUUGUAAAGUACUUUCAGCGGGGAGGAAGGGAGUAAAGUUAAUACCUUUGCUCAUUGACGUUACCCGCAGAAGAAGCACCGGCUAACUCCGUGCCAGCAGCCGCGGUAAUACGGAGGGUGCAAGCGUUAAUCGGAAUUACUGGGCGUAAAGCGCACGCAGGCGGUUUGUUAAGUCAGAUGUGAAAUCCCCGGGCUCAACCUGGGAACUGCAUCUGAUACUGGCAAGCUUGAGUCUCGUAGAGGGGGGUAGAAUUCCAGGUGUAGCGGUGAAAUGCGUAGAGAUCUGGAGGA